UCUAAUUUCUUUUACAGGACCCAGAUGCUAUACAGUGGGAAAACCAGCCUGGCAACAUAGUGCGUAUUAAUAAAAGGACACCACAUCCUGCCAAAUUCCAGCUGCGCUAAUUGUAUUGUGUUCACAGAGCUCACAAGCUAUCAGAAAGUUGUAUGGCAACCACCUCCGGCGCCAAAUAGAACUGGCAGACAUAGACAUUCAGUACAAGAAGAAAAAGAUGGAAAAUCUUGCACUGGAGUCCGAAAUAAAAAAGAGGACAAUUAGGAAACUGGACCUUGAAAUAAAAAAACUUGAGAGGGAGCUCCAAGAAGAUGACACAGCUCAAAAUAAAAAUUAGCAAUCAGUACAACCAAGUCAUCGUUAUAAGGCAUCGCCCUCUUUUGCCCACCCCCCCAGCACCAGGUGUGGCCACUAGCCUAUAUGAAGGCCCAAAAUUGUGUGUUCCUUUCUGCUCUGACAAUGGCAUGCCCAUUCGUGCGAGAUGUGGUGGAUGAAGAAGCACUUGUGCUGAGGAGAGCCUUCAGGCGAGAAAGGGUCUUCAGGGACCGGUUGGACCCACUGGCCUUCCCUGAUGACCAUCUAUAUGAAAGAUACAGGUUUUCUGCAGAUGGCAUCAGGUAUCUAUGCAGACUACUGGGUCCCAGGAUUAAGCACCGCACUGCACGGAGCCAUGCACUGAGUGUGGAGCAAAUGGUUUGUGUGGCCUUGCGCUUUUUUGCUAGUGGAGCCUUCCUGUACUCAGUGGGGGAUGCAGAACAGCUGAACAAGGCCACAAUUUGCCGCACAAUAAGGAGUGUGUGUCUGGCUAUCAAAGCAUUAGCAGAUGUCUUCAUCUCCUUCCUGGCCACAGAAGACUCUGUGACAUCAAAGAGGAGUUCUAUAGGAUUGCAGGUAAGAGGAUCUACAAAUUACAGGACAACUGUUAACACAUAGUAGGAUACUCAUUACUUUGUGUGACAGGUUUCCCCAAUGUCAUUGGUGCAGUGGACUGCACACACA